GGUUACAAGCAAACAAAAGCAUCUGGGGUUAGCAUAGAGGAGUCCAUAAGCCAAUAAGAAAUAAAAGAAAUAACCCUAAUCACAGCUUUUUAGACAUUCCCUAAUUUUACUUACAUAUCUGAGGCUUCGGAUAAGUAGGUUCGAGGUAUGAAUUGAUAAUCUAUAAUCAUACCUGCUUAAAGAUGCUUACAGCAUUGCUGCUCCGUGUCCCUGCAGCCCAGAGAACAACCGAUAAAGGGAAAGUUUCUGUCCCAAUUUUAAAAAGUUCUACUUUCCCAUUGGCUCUUUUGGUCAGGUGCCCAUUCCUUUCCUUUUACCUGUGGGCUUGUUAACCCUUUACAGGUAAAGCAAGCAGAGAACAGACACCAAGAGGGAUUUUACAGCUAACUGGCUGGCUGAGUGUCCAUAAGGGAGCUAUCCCCUCUCCCCUCUUCAGUUAUCACACCUUAUGGACAGCCAGCCAGCCAGUUAUCACAGCCCCUUUAAAAGAAAUUAGCUUUCAGCAGCAAGGCUGUAAUGGCCUCUUUGGGUCGCUGGUGAUGUCCCAGGCCACUCACACUCUGCUCCUUGGCAAAAUAAUUUCCCUCAUCCUUUAUCUGUACAGAGGGGACCUUCCACCUGCACACCUGCUCCCUCCCAUACAGAAAGGGCAGUCGCAGCCACCGCUGUAGCAGUGUAUCCCCAGAUCCUGUGGAGGUUUCGUCUGGAGAACAAGGUGGAAGCUGGAUGGGGACAGGAGGAAUUUGGCAAGGGCUUUUCUCAGGGAGAUUUCCUCUCCCACCAGAGCCCUGGGAAGGGUGAUUGGCCCAUGGUUUGUAAUGCUACUGGUAACAGCAAAGGGACAUAAUAAUCUUGUAAUUCACAGUUGCCUCCAGGUCUCUCUAUAAAUAGCUCUUAUGAUUAACUUUUAGUUCCCUAGACAUUUGUUAAUAGAGGUAUUUAAUUUCAGCCCCUGUAGGACAUGUCACAAUGGGAUCUCUGCACAGGGAGAGCUCACCUUCUCACCAGCCCGUGGGAGCAGCCACUCAGAGUAAUAGGAGUGCUUCAUAUGGCUGGGGACCUGAGUGCAUUGUUGGCUGGUAACGAGCUAAUACUUUAUGCACUCUUUGAAAGCUUAUGAAUCCCCAGCUUGGUGCACACCAAUGCAUUAUUGCAUAUCAUCUUCUGUACAUAACAUAGGGAGAGCUUGAGCCACUUGGGGGCAUGUUACUUCCAUAGGUACUGAUGCAUUCUGGAAAGUGUCUAGAGAAGAGCUACUAAAGUCAUGCUGGAGGGGACUCAGGGUACUAGGCUAAAGCUCUUAAAGCCCCAAUCCUGCAAUGAGUUCUCUGCAGACAGACUCCCUGCACCUGUGUGGGUACAGAGAGUCUGAAUGCACAGAUCACAUUGCAAGAUAAGGGCCCAAGUCUCUUCUGGUUGGAGAAGAAGAGUCUGUGGCAAGGAGUGGAGCUUACUUCCAAGUAUAACUGCCCAAAUGGAAGACAUGUUGUGAUCGGCGCAAUCUAUAUGAGGGCCGAAGAACCAAGCAAUCAAGGUGAACUGCCCAAAACAGGCCUUACAAAGACAUAGGCUUUAAUUAAGCAACAACAGGAAAAUGCUUGAACGCUCUGAGACAGGUAACUUUGUAAAAUACCCUCUAAUGACUGUACACCAAUACUGCCUAUGCCACACACCAGUGGUGCCUUGCUGAACCAUUUCAAAGGAAGGCUAAGCUGACUCACAGCACAGCUCACAGUAUUCACUCAUUUCACUACAGCCCCAGGGGUGCAGCCCAUCUGCAUUUCCAAAUCCAGGAUUGAGACUGAAUUUUUUUGGGAGGGGGGGAUUUUGCAUUGAAAUAGAGUCUGCUUUUAUUCUUGCAAACAGAAUGCACUGGAUGUGGUUUUUCAGCACGACUGGCCAUUUCAAGACAUGGCUUGGGACUGUUGUUCAUUUUUCCAAAGUAGUUGGCAUUUUAUAUGUGAACCAAUUCAUGUAUUGAAAAGCACGUGUUUUUCUCUCCCCUGCAGAAUGGAAAUAGGUUUUACUACAGAAGGUGGGCUGGUGUUCUGAAGUGUUCCUUAAGACACAAUCAACAUUCUAACACUCGGCUAUAUCAGGUUUUAAGGAGAAUAAUGAAUAACUGGCUGUAAAAAGUCUCUCUGCGCUGACACUCAGCAAACCAAGGGGUCCAGUCCAAAGAACAUUUUUGUACAAAAUUUGGGGUGGGGGAACUUGGCUGCUUUUUAUUUUUAAUCAAAGAAGUGCUCAACAUGGAAGCACUUUCUUGUUUUACUGCGUGGCUUGGGAUUUAUUGUUUGCUUUGACUUAAUAAUCAGCAAGAGAUCAGUCUAUGGUGCAAGUUCAAUGAUUUGAAAAAAUAUUAACAUCUAAAAGUCAAGUGCCACACACAGACAAUUUUAUGUAUUUGGUUUCUACUGCAUUGUCUUCUGUGCAAUGGAAAGGAGUGAUUCUCAGGCACAUAAGGCACUAUGGACAAUAUGGCCCAUGGGCAUUAACCAGUCGAGCUGUUGCAGUGUAGAGAGAUUUUAUGCUUUUUUAAAGAAAAACUUUCUUGUACUUCUUAAAGUAGUUUUUAAAAAUAAAUAAAUAAAUAAUGAGGUUGUAAAAGAACCCAGCAAAGACUUAAAUGUUGGACUGAAGUCCUUGUCUUUUUAUAAAUUGUUCAUACAUUUCUAAGGUUUCAGAGUAACAGCCGUGUUAGUCUGUAUCCGCAA